rnacentral:rRNA from 1 species
AAUAAGGGAGCCGAAGGGAAACCGAGUCUUAACUGGGCGUUUGAGUUGCAAGGUAUAGACCCGAAACCCGGUGAUCUAGCCAUGGGCAGGUUGAAGAUUGGGUAACACUAAUUGGAGGACCGAACCGGCUAAUGUUGAAAAAUUAGCGGAUGACUUGUGGCUGGGGGUGAAAGGCCAAUCAAACCGGGAGAUAGCUGGUUCUCCCCGAAAUCUAUUUAGGUAGAGCCUUGAGCGGACACCUUCGGGGGUAGAGCA